rnacentral:misc_RNA from 1 species
GAUGAAGAACGCAGCGAAAUGCGAUAAGUAAUGUGAAUUGCAGAAUUCAGUGAAUCAUCGAGUCUUUGAACGCACAUUGCGCCCCCUGGUAUUCCGGGGGGCAUGCCUGUCCGAGCGUCAUUGCCGCCCUCAAGCACGGCUUGUGUGUUGGGCCCCCGCCCCCCGGCUUCGGGGGGCGGGCCCGAAAGGCAGCGGCGGCACCGCGUCCGGUCCUCGAGCGUAUGGGGCUUCGUCACCCGCUCUGUAGGCCCGGCCGGCGCGCGCCGGCGACCCCAAUCAAUCUUUCCAGGUUGACCUCGGAUCAGGUAGGGAUACCCGCUGAACUUAAGCAUAUCAAUAAGCGGAGGA